CAGAAUCGGGGCUAAGUGCCGCUGGAGGACCGAAGGGGAACUGCGAAGUUUUCAUGCCGAAAAUAGUUCUAGGGCAUACGCAGCUAAAUCCCCCUGUCUAUUCACGGUUUUCGUCCAUGCAAACAAGAUGGCCACCACCUCGUGGACGUCCAUAGGAAUUGCGGCCACCCAGACAAACAAUUAGAACACUGCGGUGGAAAUUUCAACAAUGUAUCAAUCAAGCUUAACAAGCUC